UUAGAUGCCACAAACGCCUGGGUAGUUAGCGCCAACUGCAACAUAGCUGCCUGCAAGACAGCCAACUAAUGCCCCCUCACUGGCUUCAUUCCCUCACCACUACAGCCGCUCUAAUACAGCUCCAAUGCAGCAACACAGCAGGAAGAAUAUUGGCAUGAGUGGAAGUGAUAGCCACAGGUAAUGGCUGCAAGAGACCUUAGCUGCACUUGGCAACAAAACACGAUGCACAACCAGAUUAAAAGUAACUGCCAGCUCUGAGCUCUUCCAAUCUUCCAUGGUCCUUAAACGAGUUGCCAGUGUCACAUAACGGUUAAUGGAGCCCUUCUGCAGAGGAAAAAGGAUUCCGAUGAUAAGAGCACGUCUCCAAGGAAUUGAAUUUAUGAGUGAUCUGAAAUCAGGCCAGUCAAGCUGAAGACGAUGUGUACACUAACCUGUUCACACUGAAUAGUCCCCAUAAAUAAUUUACAGCUAUGACUGCUAGCUAUUAUUACAAAAAUACCGGACUGCAUUUUGACACAUGCAUCUAGCUUGUAAGUCAAUAGAAACAUUCACCUAGCUUGUGCCGACCACACUUAGAGGCAUCCAUCCGUGGACGUUUUACAACAAUGUAAUUUACCACUUGGAAUUUAAAUUGACAAAGUCUUUCUUAAACAAUGCUCAUUUUUUUCCUCUACAUGCAUAAUAUUGAUCCUUAAUAGCCUUGACUUGUAUUUGUUUUCUUGGCUUUGUGUUUUUAAAGACCUUUGAUGUUUUAUUAAACACCCUUAUUUCACUGCAGCCAAGUGUUAUGUACAGUUGUUUGGAGACACAAUGAAUCUCCGGCUAGAUUUUUUGAGGGUUUAAAAAAGAAUGUUCUUGACAUUUUCCUUCAUUUUGUUUUUUCUUUGAGCUGUGCUAGAG